GGGUUGUGAGGUUAAGCGACUAAGCGUACACGGUGGAUGCCCUGGCAGUCAGAGGCGAUGAAGGGCGUGCUAAUCUGCGAUAAGCGCCGGUAAGGUGAUAUGAACCGUUAUAACCGGCGAUACCCGAAUGGGGAAACCCAGUGUGAUUCGUCACACUAUCAUUAACUGAAUCCAUAGGUUAAUGAGGCGAACCGGGGGAACUGAAACAUCUAAGUACCCCGAGGAAAAGAAAUCAACCGAGAUUCCCCCAGUAGCGGCGAGCGAACGGGGAGGAGCCCAGAGCCUGAAUCAGCAUGUGUGUUAGUGGAAGCGUCUGGAAAGGCGCGCGAUACAGGGUGACAGCCCCGUACACAAAAGCGCAUAUGCUGUGAGCUCGAUGAGUAGGGCGGGACACGUGGUAUCCUGUCUGAAUAUGGGGGGACCAUCCUCCAAGGCUAAAUACUCCUGACUGACCGAUAGUGAACCAGUACCGUGAGGGAAAGGCGAAAAGAACCCCGGCGAGGGGAGUGAAAAAGAACCUGAAACCGUGUACGUACAAGCAGUGGGAGCCCCACCACUAAGCCAGUGGUGAACUCCACAUACGCAUCCUUUGCUGAGGAUACGGUUAACGGAGCGAAAGCGACGUUCAACCUCAAAAGAAGCAGAGGGGGCUUAGUGGUGGGGUGACUGCGUACCUUUUGUAUAAUGGGUCAGCGACUUAUAUUCUGUAGCAAGGUUAACCGAAUAGGGGAGCCGGAGGGAAACCGAGUCUUAAC
rnacentral:rRNA from 1 species